CCGGUCCUCGUUGGGGAGUAACCUGCUUCUGAGUUAUCUCGGGAGCGUUCGUAUCAACAUUCUCGGCAGCAGCCGUGGUGCGAACACCUUUUGGUUGGUGAGACCAGCGACACAUCCAUGCCGAAAGUCGGGCGUGUGGACGUGUCGUUGACUCAUAGCCCGACUGAGAAGU
rnacentral:sRNA from 1 species